CGGAAUCUGCCUAUUUGUGGGGGAUAACGUAGGGAAACUUACGCUAAUACCGCACACGACCUACGGGUGAAAGCGGAGGACCUUCGGGCUUCGCGCAGAUAGAUGAGCCGAUGUCGGAUUAGCUAGUUGGCGGGGUAAAGGCCCACCAAGGCGACGAUCCGUAGCUGGUCUGAGAGGAUGAUCAGCCACACUGGAACUGAGACACGGUCCAGACUCCUACGGGAGGCAGCAGUGGGGAAUAUUGGACAAUGGGCGCAAGCCUGAUCCAGCCAUGCCGCGUGGGUGAAGAAGGCCUUCGGGUUGUAAAGCCCUUUUGUUGGGAAAGAAAAGCAGUCGGUUAAUACCCGAUUGUUCUGACGGUACCCAAAGAAUAAGCACCGGCUAACUUCGUGCCAGCAGCCGCGGUAAUACGAAGGGUGCAAGCGUUACUCGGAAUUACUGGGCGUAAAGCGUGCGUAGGUGGUUUGUUAAGUCUGAUGUGAAAGCCCUGGGCUCAACCUGGGAAUUGCAUUGGAUACUGGCAGGCUAGAGUGCGGUAGAGGGUAGUGGAAUUCCCGGU
rnacentral:rRNA from 1 species